rnacentral:rRNA from 1 species
CGAGUGAAGCGGCAACAGCUCAAAUUUGAAAGCUGAUCCUUUCAGGGUCCGCGUUGUAAUUUGUAGAGGAUGAUUCGGCGAGGGCUCCCGCCUAAGUCCCCUGGAACGGGGCGUCAUAGAGGGUGAGAAUCCCGUAUGCGGUGGGUUGCCUUAGCCAUGUGAAUCUCCUUCGACGAGUCGAGUUGUUUGGGAAUGCAGCUCUAAAUGGGAGGUAAAUUUCUUCUAAAGCUAAAUACCGGCCAGAGACCGAUAGCGCACAAGUAGAGUGAUCGAAAGAUGAAAAGCACUUUGGAAAGAGAGUUAAAAAGUACGUGAAAUUGUUGAAAGGGAAGCGCUUGCAACCAGACUUGUCCGCAGUUGCUCAGCCGGUCUCCUGACCGGCGUACUCUUCUGCGGCCAGGCCAGCAUCAGUUCGGGCGGUCGGAUAAAGACCUCGGGAAUGUAGCUCCUCUCGGGGAGUGUUAUAGCCCGGGGUGGAAUGCGGCCAGCCUGGACUGAGGAUCUCGCUUCGGCAAGGAUGCUGGCGUAAUGGUUGUAAGCGGCCCGUCUUGAAACACGGACCAAGGAGUCUAACAUCUAUGCGAGUGUUUGGGUGUCAAACCCAUACGCGUAAUGAAAGUGAACGGAGGUGGGAACCCGCAAGGGUGCACCAUCGGCCGAUCCUGAUGUCUUCGGAUGGAUUUGAGCAAGAGCAUAGCUGUUGGGACCCGAAAGAUGGUGAACUAUGCCUGAAUAGGGUGAAGCCAGAGGAAACUCUGGUGGAGGCUCGCAGCGGUUCUGACGUGCAAAUCGAUCG